GGAAUAUUGGACAAUGGGCGCAAGCCUGAUCCAGCCAUGCCGCGUGAGUGAAGAAGGCCUUCGGGUUGUAAAGCUCUUUUAACUGUGAAGAUAAUGACGGUAGCAGUAGAAAAAGCCCCGGCUAACUUCGUGCCAGCAGCCGAGGUAAUACGAAGGGGGCAAGCGUUGUUCGGAAUUACUGGGCGUAAAGCGUGCGUAGGCGGCCAAGCAAGUUGGAAGUUAAAUCCCAGGGCUCAACCCUGGAACUGCUUUCAAAACUGCUAGGCUAGAAUCUCGGAGAGGAUAGCGGAAUUUCCAGUGUAGAGGUGAAAUUCGUAGAUAUUGGAAGGAACACCAGUGGCGUAGGCGGCUAUCUGGACGAGUAUUGACGCUAAGGCACGAAAGUGUGGGGAGC
rnacentral:rRNA from 1 species